ACUGACUAUGACACUUAGCUUUAGACCCUUUUAUCUCCAAAGUCAGACGUGUGUUUUUUUUAGUUGGCCAACACAUACAAGUGAAUCAGCCACAAGAAACUUCCAUCUUAUCUGCUUCAGCUCCAGCUAUGUCGAUUACCAAUGAUACAAACAUGUCAGCUCCUGAGAACAAGGUAUCGAAGGUUCAAGUGAAUCAGCCACUAGAAAAGAUCUAUAGCCAUUCCCGCCACUUCAGCCUCCUGCACCCUCGUCUUCAGCUCGCCUUAAGGCUAAGAAAUGAAGGCGGAGCUCGGUUUUGCGUUUCACUAGGAUCAACGAAUACACUAAAGCUGAGAUGUAAUUGUGUUCUAAUCUAGAAGACACAGCACAGUAGACAACAAUCUGUUGUUUUAAUUUGAUAGAGUAAUCGCGCUUGUUUACAAUGUUGGAUUUAUGUACUAGUAAUGGUGCUAUGUUUAUACACCUA